GCGGGGGUACCAGAGCCAGGUCUAAUGGGCAGAAGGCAGAUCACCCUGUGGCGAAGGCCUUCGUGGGUUCGAAUCCCACCCCCCGC
rnacentral:tRNA from 1 species